UACGUAGGGUGCAAGCGUUGUCCGGAAUUAUUGGGCGUAAAGAGCGUGUAGGCGGCCCGAUUAGUCUGCUGUGAAAGUCCAGGGCUCAACCCUGGAAUGCCGGUGGAUACUGUCGGGCUAGAGUCCGGAAGGGGCGAGUGGAAUUCCUGGUGUAGCGGUGAAAUGCGCAGAUAUCAGGAAGAACACCAAUGGCGAAGGCAGCUCUCUGGGACGGUACUGACGCUGAGACGCGAAAGCGUGGGGAGCGAACAGG
rnacentral:rRNA from 1 species